GACGAACGCUGGCGGCGUGCUUAACACAUGCAAGUCGAACGGAAAGGCCCUGCUUUUGUGGGGUGCUCGAGUGGCGAACGGGUGAGUAACACGUGAGUAACCUGCCCUUGACUUUGCGAUAACUUCAGGAAACUUGGGCUAAUACCGGAUAGGAGCUCCUGCUGCCUGGUGGGGGUUGGAAAGUUUCGGCGGUUGGGGAUGGACUCGAGGCUUAUCAGCUUGUUGGUGGGGUAGUGGCUUACCAAGGCUUUGACGGGUAGCCGGCCUGAGAGGGUGACCGGCGACAUUGGGACUGAGAUACGGCCCAGACUCCUACGGGAGGCAGCAGUGGGGAAUAUUGCACAAUGGGCGGAAGCCUGAUGCAGCAACGCCGCGUGCGGGAUGACGGCCUUCGGGUUGUAAACAGCUUUCGCCUGUGACGAAGCGUGAGUGACGGUAAUGGGUAAAGAAGCACCGGCUAACUACGUG
rnacentral:rRNA from 1 species